UACGUAGGUGACAAGCGUUGUCCGGAUUUACUGGGCGUAAAGAGCGCGCAGGCGGUCGUUCAAGUCGAGUGUGAAAGCCCCCGGCUCAACUGGGGAGGGUCAUUCGAUACUGAUCGACUCGAAGGCAGGAGAGGGAAGUGGAAUUCCCGGUGUAGUGGUGAAAUGCGUAGAUAUCGGGAGGAACACCAGUGGCGAAGGCAGCACUCUGGGACGUGACUGACGCUGAGACGCGAAAGCGUGGGGAGCAAACAGG
rnacentral:rRNA from 1 species